rnacentral:rRNA from 1 species
UCGCCUGUUUAUCAAAAACAUCACCUCUAGCAUCACCAGUAUUAGAGGCACCGCCUGCCCAGUGACACAUGUUUAACGGCCGCGGUACCCUAACCUCGCCUGUUUAUCAAAAACAUUGUUUCACGAAUUUAUCAGAAAUAUAACCUGCUCAGUGAAAAUUUAAACAGCCAAACCUAAAGUAGCAUAAUAAUUUGUCUUUUAAUUAAAGGCUAGAAUGAAAGGUAAAACGAGAGACUAUCUUUCUUUAUUUUAGAAAUUUAAAUUAACUUUUAAGUUAAAAGGCUUAAAUAAAUUUAAAAGACGAUAAGACCCUGUAGAACUUAAUAAAAUAAAAAAUAAUAAAAAGAAAAAAUUUUACUGGGGAAGUAAAAAAAUAAAAAUUUUUUUUUAAUUUAACUAAUUAGAUUGAACGGACCUUUUAAGAAAAUAAAAAGUUACCUCAGGGAUAACAGAGUAAAAAUUUUUUAGAGACCAAAUCAAUAAAAUUGUAUACUACCUCGAUGUUGAAUUAAGAGAUAACUUAAUAGCAAGGCCGCUAUUAAAGGUUCGUUUGUUCAACGAUUAAAGUCCUACGUGAUCUGAGCUCAAACCGGA